CGUAACAGUGGCUUUCCCGUCUCCUCUGCCUCCUCAAAACCACGAUUUCCAGAGGGAUUUGCGCCCGCGGCCUGUCUCUGCUGUGCCAGCCCACGCCCUGGUCUCAAGGCAAAUUUGAAAGGAGCACCUGGGACGGGCAUGUGGCUGCCACGUGAGUUACCCUGGGAGUAUGCAAGUGGAACGGGGAGCUAUUUGAAAUCUCGAAGAUUCUGAACUCUUACCGCAGUUUUGCACCUACAGUUCCUUCUAUCUAGACAUUUACCACAUGCCCUCUGUAAAGACAGGACUGGACCAGCGCAGGUUUUCUGAUCCAGCAGACCAGGUCUAUGGGAUCGAAAAGAGAAAUGUUGCAUUAUAUUUUUUUAUGGUAGAGAAAAUGCAAAAGUGACCUCCAAGAUCUCCAUCCCAUGCAUAAACCUGUGAAUAUGAUGGAUUCUCCUUUUGUGAUUACAUUGUACGGCACAUUUGACUUUAAGAAAGAGGGAUGAUCCUAAGUGAGCCUGACCUAACCAGGAAUAUGUACCAGUACAAAGUGUUAACCUCAUUUGGAUUUGAACCCCAUCUCAACAGCAAAAGAAGGCUGAGGAUCGCCAAAUGUCAGCUCAGCUUUUGCCUGUAAGAAUAUGGUUUUUUCCUUUUCGAAAUCUUGAAAAGAAGCUCACUUUAUGAGCCCGGUAGGCUAACAGAGGUAAUUUCCUAAGGAUUUCUUCCAACCCUAAUGCCACUGUAAGGCAGUGAUAUAACCGACUCCAUGCUGAAGUGGACUUACCGAUGAAACAUAAAAGGAUGAGAUGAGGAUACAAUUCAUCCACAGAUUUUCACAGAAGACUGGGUAAUUGCUAUAGUUUCAUUCCGCUUGAUGGGUAUUUCAAGGACAUAGGGAAAACAGUUAUCUUUCUGCUUCCAAUAUACCUGUUGUGCUAAAACAGUGCAUUUGGACAUGGACCAUUAUGAAUAACAUCUUUACAUGAAUGACAAGCAGUUUCUCCUCUGCUUCUGCAGAGAUGGGUACCUAUUACACCCACUAAUUCAAUGGAGGCAGGUAUAAAGGUUCCCACAAAGGAAGAAACUAAGCAAAGGAUUAUGAUGCUUGUUAAAGUUUCUGCACCCCAAGUUGGUAGAAAAAGCUGCUGAGAAGAUCAGAAUUUUAAAUAAAGAUCUGUGUAUAACUAAAAAAAUGUUUUCCAGAUUCACCCAUGUUGCAACAAGUAUCAGAACUUCAUUCCUUCUCAUCCAGCCAUCCAUCCAAUGUUGGACAUCUGAGUUGUCUCCAUCUUUCAGCUAUAGUGAAUAAUAUUGUUAUAAACACAUGCA